rnacentral:rRNA from 1 species
AUGGCUCAGGACGAACGCUGGGCGGCGUGCCUAACACAUGCAAGUCGAACGGACGAGGGGAGCUUGCUCCCCAAGUUAGUGGCGGACGGGUGAGUAACACGUGAGCAACCUGCCCUUCGGAGGGGACAACAGCGGGAAACUGCUGCUAAUACCGCAUAACGUAUUCUGGAGGCAUCUCCGGGAUACCAAAGAUUUUAUCGCCGAAGGAUGGGCUCGCGUCUGAUUAGAUAGUUGGCGGGGCAACGGCCCCACCAAGUCUACGAUCAGUAGCCGGACUGAGAGGUUGAACGGCCACAUUGGGACUGAGAUACGGCCCAGACUCCUACGGGAGGCAGCAGUGGGGAAUAUUGGGCAAUGGGGGCAAACCCCUGACCCAGCAACGCCGCGUGGAGGAAGAAGGCUUUCGGGUUGUAAACUCCUUUGACGAGGGACGAUAGUGACGGUACCUCGAAAACAAGCCACGGCUAACUACGUGCCAGCAGCUGC